ACACUUCUUAAGCGGACUAUUUUAUAUCACAAUUAAUCACGCCAUCAGGGAGGCGCGGGUCCCGCGUGCGAGUGCGGCCAGCGGAGCCCCUCACAUAAAAUUAGACAAUAAUUGAAGCCAUAAAAAAGCAGCCAAAUCGCAUUCUCGCUCUACUGUAUUUAAAUCUAUAUUUAUGAUAUUUCAUAAGGAGUUAUUGUUUCAGAAGCCACACAGGCUGGCGGGAAGUCGGGAACGACCAACAGAUUCGUUUGCCUCGCCCUGGCUCCCAGCAGUAAAAAUUUACGAGGACUUGGAAAGGUUAGACUGUUGUGUUUGGUUGGCGAGCUCCCUGUAAAUAAUCCCUGCGGUCCCCGGGAGAGGCGAGUUUACCCCCGGCCUCCUGCGAAAAGUCAAAUUCAACGCAGGAUCCGUCCCAAACGAAGCAGCCGCCGGCCCUACCAGGGCACUCCAGGCAGGGACUGGCCGCUGGGGAGUACCACGGGUGUAGGUCCCCACGGUUACCCGCCUGGAGCGAGGGGCGCAAGAGCAGUCCUUAAAUUCGCCUUUGCUGCGAGGACCCCACUGAGGAGCUGGCCAGGAGGGAGCGGCCAGUCGCCCCCAGGGCGAAGGGUUUGAGGGCCUGGUUGGUUGUGUGGGGCGCUCGGCCCCCGGCCGUCGACCCCACGCAAACGCGCGCCCAGCUCGCCCUUCUCAUUGAGCUGGAAAUCAGGAUUCCUAGGCGCAGGCGGCUGGCGACCCAGCCCUGUGUUCCAGCCUCAGAGGCUCUAACCCUGAGUGCUGCAAGCCUAGUUGAGCUCCCUGAACCCCAACUGGGGAAAAAACUCCAAGUGGCAUCAACGGAAGGAGAGUUCGGCUUGGGGAAAGGCAGCCUCGCCUGAGACCCCGCGGCUCCGGCGGCUGGGAGGCCCGCACCGAUGUGGCCUGUCCCAGGGCUGUGUGAGCCUUUCAGGGCUCCUUCCCCCCUUUCCAGCUACUACUCCGGGCCUCGCCUUGGUUACCUACGGACCCGGCGACUCGGCAGAGAGGUACAAGGCCCAAAGAGAGGCAACCACAGCUCAAGGCCAGGGCUGGAAAUUAGAACGGCGAGGGGCACAAGGGCAUCGACUCCAGUCCCAUUCCUGGGCCUGGCCACAUUGGGGAAGUUUAUUUCUCACCCAUUGCAGGUAAAUUAAAAGGUCACAGGCACUCUGUUAAUUGGAAGGAAACUCCCCCCCACCCCCAAUUCCUAACAGAAAGCGGCGACUCCUAGAAAAGGGGUAAUCAAAUUCAUGUGUGGAUACUGUGCCUGCAACAGUGUGUUUUUCAUUAGCCCACUUCCCUGGCAGCGAGGCUGGCGGACUCGGGCGCUUCCCUCCCUCUCUUUUUUGCCUUCAUCCUCACCAGCAGUUCCAGUAAUCCCCCCCCCCCAAAACACCCUGACACACUUCCGGCUGGGACUCUCAUAUACCAGUGAGGUUGUCAAGCCGGGCGGAUACCGACAGAGUGCCCCUUCCUGCACCCACGCCUGGAAGAGGGAAGCGGCCGACACAAUGAACUCCGACAUGGCCCUCUCUUGUCCGCCUCAUCUCCCUCCCCCUAAUAUUUUCCUUGCCCUAUAAAUUCCUCUAGGUCAUGCCCACCCCCACCACAGUCCACCCUGUCCUAAACACUUUGCGGUCCGCCAGGCCUCUGAGAUUUUCAUUUAAAAAAUUAACCCUGGAGGAAACCCUGGCUCCUAAUUUUAAGUGUCUGCAAAUGGGCUGGGCAUGUCUGGCUGCCUUUUUCACUUUUUAUACCAGAGAAGACACUGAUUAUUUUAGUAUUUUUAAAGUACAAAAGCUGUUCCUUUAAACAGCCUUAGCCCCCAAAUAAGAGAAUUGCUGAACAAUUAGCAGGCCUUGAGUGUUAAGCAGAUGUUACUGGUGCCUAGAAAGAGGAGAAAAAUCAGAAAACCAAAUAUUGUCUCACUUCAGCCCAAAGGUUUGGAGCCAGAAUAUUCAGACUUUUUUGUCUGCUUUUAUUUUGGAAGCGAAAGAGAUUGCGUAUCAUAAAGAAAUAGUAAAUGACUAUAAUUUAAAACCGCCCCUUCUCGACUGAGAUUUCUAAAACUGUGAUCUCUGAAAUUAAUAAAUACCCUGGUCCAGAAAAUGGCACGGAGGAGUUGAAGGGAAUGGGGUAUGUGGUCCUUUCAGACAGCAGACCGGUGGCUGUGCAACGGAACAGUUCCUGGGCCUCCAGUCCAGGCAGGGAAGGGAAACAGCUCUGUGGGCACGAAUCUGUAACUGUGUGUGUUGGGGGUAGGGAGAGAUAGUUUGUUUUCUGUUUUCUGGAGUGAAAAUGGUCAGACUGGCUCCCAUCUGUAGACUACAAAUUGGAACGAUGACCCAAGUUUAUAUCAAUGGCUCUGGAAUUUGGGAUUCUUUUUGCCCAUUUGAAACAUACUGGCUCUGGUAAGGGUCCCCUUCUCCAGUACCCAGAGGCAAAAAGGUGCCGUAUGGAACAUAUUUUGUACCUAAUAGAAGCCACUAGCAAGCGAGCAGUCAAGCUUUGCCCUAGCCAGUCUCCCUCAAUGCGGUCAAACCCCAAGCUGUGACCGGCAGGCGGGGAAGAGCCGGCUAAGAGCUUCCCAGAGAAUGGCCAGGCUCCAGCGAGGCUGGUUGGGCCUCAGCUCCAGUUCCCAGUGAGGCUAGCGAAGGCCUCCCUGCCCUCGAUAUGGGCACGCAAAGCUGCAGCGAAUGCCCCCUAAUCAGAUCUCCUAGUCAGCCUUUAGCGACAGGCGGAGACGAAACGCAAGGCCGCCGCCAUCCGGUCGUGAUCAUAACCGAGGCCUUGUCUGCACAGUAACACACCAGGCCCAAACCCACCGCCCUCGGCAGCCGCCCCACGCGGGCCCUUCCUCAGCAGACUUCCCAACCUCUACUUGAGACACAGAGGAAAGUGAGACUCCCUAGGCUCUCCUGAAGCCAGCCCUGAGCCUCUCCCCAAGGAUGCUUUGGGAAGGAGAUAAGGAGGUGAGAUAGAAUCUGGCAGAGAUGGAAGAUGAAAAAAAGACAAACGGAAGAAAAGAAAGCAGGAAGGAGCAAAGGAAAGAAGAAAAAAGAAAGAAGGGAUAAAAGAGGAAGGGAAGAGAGGGAAAAGAAGGAAGAAAAGAGAAAGAAGCGACUCCUAGCAGAGGCCGGGCUUACAGAGAGAAGGGUAAGUGACAAGGCCAGGAUCCCAACCUCUGCCUGCCCUAUCUUCCUAGUCCAGCCUGAGUCUCCACUGGAAGAAGAUUCUUUCCUGAGCUCACACCCGGGACUGGUGUGUGUGUGUGUGUGUGUGCGUGCACGCGCGCGUGUGUGUGUGUUCCAGCCUUACAAGAGACUGGCAGGAGGUCCCUGGGCAGGCGCAGGCCUCUAGUGGGGGAGGCUCAGGAUGGAAGCGUGCGCCCCUGACCUUGAAUGGCCCAAGGCCCUGAAUUCCUACCACGCCCCCGGCGUCCGCGAAGGAGCAGCCAACCUGACCCUACCUGCUGUGGGCCAGGUGGAGGUGUGUGGUGGAAGGGGAGAGCCGGCCGGCUGGCAGAGCGCUACGGAGAAAGACACAAGGCUCCUGCGCAGGGAAAGCCGAGGAUGCCACCGCAGGCCUGGCACGACCAGGGCCGUGAUGUCCCGCCCGGCCCGACCCCGGCGCGCAGAGUACCUGGAGACGAUUUCAACUGAAGUAAUGAAGGCAGUGUCGUGCUGUCGAGAGAAAGGUGGAUCCCAACAACAGGAAACUACCUAAAUCACCGACCAGUUCUGGUGCUGCCCGCGCAGGGCUGCCUCGCCCGCCGCCGAUGCCGCCUCCGCCGCCGCCGCUGCCGCCGCCGCCGCCGCCAGGAGAGAACCCUGCGAUCGCGCCUGGCCCAGCGCAGCCCCUAGGCAACCUGCGCCCGCCGCUGCAACGGAAUGCCCCAGGCAGCCGCAAAUGUGUCACUGAAGGGGAAGCCACAGGCCCCAGUAAGCCAAAGUCAAGCCCGUUUGCCAACCUGCAUGUCCAUGCCUGUAAGCCCUUCUCUUGGCCAAGGAAGAAAGGAAGAAAGAAAAAAGAAACCCAGGGGCCUGUAUCCCCUGAUUAAACACAGCACAGCACUCCAGGCAGACAUGCCCGGUGGCGGCUCCUUGCACCAUUGACCUCAGGCCAGACACCUCAGCGCCAACAAUGGGACCUCGGCCUUCCGGCUAGGUUUGCCCCAGGCUGGGCAGGAAACCAGCUCGGCCGAACACAGGGGCCAUUUCAAGCAGUAGGACCCCAAGACAGCAAACCCAGCCCAGUCACGACUUGACACUUAGGACAAUAUCUAUCUCUAUAGAAUUUUAGCACGAUAUGGCUUUUUCCCCCAGAAAACAACAAAUAAACCAGCACCAAGCAAACACAAAGAAACAAAAAGUCAGAACAAACCAGCCCUGCACAGAUGUAACGGCCCAGGAGAUGACGAGCGUGGGAGGGAAGAACAGGGCUCCAGCACAGGUGCGAGUUCCUGGGCAGAGGCUGAAGACAGAGGGAAGGGACCAGCGCUCAGGAAGUGAAAAAACCGCGUCGCCUGGAGAUUCAUCAGGAAAAAUUAAAAUUGGCUGUGAGCUCCCGAA